AUUGAACGCUGGCGGCAUGCCUUACACAUGCAAGUCGAACGGCAGCACGGGUGCUUGCACCUGGUGGCGAGUGGCGAACGGGUGAGUAAUACAUCGGAACAUGUCCUUUCGUGGGGGAUAGCCCGGCGAAAGCCGGAUUAAUACCGCGUACGAUCUACGGAUGAAAGCGGGGGACCUUCGGGCCUCGCUCGAUUGGGUUGGCCGAUGGCUGAUUAGCUAGUUUGGGGGGUAAAGGCCUACCAAGGCGACGAACAGUAGCUGGUCUGAGAGGAGGACCAGCCACACUGGGGCUGAGACACGGCCCAGACUCCUACGGGAGGCAGCAGUGGGGAAUUUUGGACAAUGGGCGAAAGCCUGAUCCAGCAAUGCCGCGUGUAUGAAGAAGGCCUUCGGGUUGUAAAGCACUUUUGUCCGGAAAGAAAUCCUUGGCUCUAAUACAGUCGGGGGAUGACGGUACCGGAAGAAUAAGCACCGGCUAACUACGUG
rnacentral:rRNA from 1 species